GGGAAAUGGCCUCUUGGUCGGACUUUUAAUCCGUUGGUCGCGUGUUCGAGUCACGCACGACCCACCA
rnacentral:tRNA from 1 species